UCCUCUCGCUUAACGGGAGAAUUGCCGUUGAUACUAUCAAUCUUGAGUACACUUGAAGUGGGCGGAAUGUGUCAUGUACCGGUGAAAUGCAUAGAUAUGACACAGGACACCGAUUGCGAAGGCAGCUCACUAAAUUGUAACUGACGCUGAGGCACGAAAGCGUGGGGAGCAAACAGGAUUAGAUACCCUGGUAGUCCACGCUGUAAACGAUGAUCACUAGCUGUUGGCGAUACACUGUCAGCGGCUGAGCGAAAGUAUUAAGUGAUCCACCUGGGGAGUACGAUCGCAAGGUUGAAACUCAAAGGAAUUGACGGGGGCCCGCACAAGCGGAGGAGCAUGUGGUUUAAUUCGAUGAUACGCGAGGAACCUCACCUAGGCUUAAAUGCUCUUUGACCGUCCUGGAAACAGGAUUUCCCUUCGGGGCAAAUUGCAAGGUGCUGCAUGGUUGUCGUCAGCUCGUGCCGUGAGGUGUCGGGUUAAGUCCCAUAACGAGCGCAACCCCUAUUCUUAGUUGCCAUCAGGUAAUGCUGGGAACUCUAAGGAAACUGCCUACGCAAGUAGUGAGGAAGGUGGGGAUGACGUCAAAUCAGCACGGCCCUUACGCCUAGGGCUACACACGUGCUACAAUGGCCAGCAUAGUGGGUUGCUACCUGGUAACAGGAUGCUAAUCUCUAAAUCUGGUCUCAGUUCGGAUUGAAGUCUGCAACUCGACUUCAUGAAGUUGGAUUCGCUAGUAAUCGCGCAUCAGCAAUGGCGCGGUGAAUACGUUCCCGGGCAUUGUACACACCGCCCGUCAAGCCAUGGAAGCUGGGAGUGCCUGAAGUCUGUAACCGCAAGGAGCGGCCUA
rnacentral:rRNA from 1 species